GACUAUCUUCUUGUUUUAAGGUCAAGUGGCAGAAGAAUGACAUGGACAACAAUUUGAACUUCUCUGUCUACUCAGAUGGGUGGAUUGUUUCAUGGACUUAAGGUGGGACACUGCUUCUGAAUCUCGAUGGAUCUGUGGGAUCGCAGGACCUCCAGCCAGCACCAAGGGAUUCUCAGGGACAACCUCCGAUCCCUGGAAAAAAGAGCUCAAAGCAAGGCCCCUGGGCAUUGAACAGGUGGAAAAGAAAAUCCCAUCUGAAGUCGAAAAUGCAGUGAUAUCCAUUGCCUGGGCAGGAGAGGUACCGGGGAAAUCAAAGAGAGCUGAACCUGUAAGGGUAGACCUUAAACCAGGAUCGGCACCAGUAAGAAUUAAACAAUAGCCUUUAAAACUGGAAACGAGAAUUGGCCUAGUACCAGUAAUUCAUAAUUUUUUGAAAUACAAAUUACUGGUAGAAUGUGAGUCAAUAAAUCAGAUAGUACAAGACAUACAUCUGGUGGUUGCAAACUCGUAUACAUUACUAACUACCCCCACUAGUGAACAAGGCUGGUUUACAGGUUUAGAUUUAAAAGAUGCCUUUUUCUGCAUACCUCUUGGUUCUGAAAGUCAGGAACUUUUUGCUUUUGAGUGGGAAAAUCCUGAAACAGGGCGAAAGACACAAUAUACUUGGACUGUUCUACCACAAGGUUUCGAGAACAGCCUGACCAUUUUUUGAAAUCAACUAGCAAAAGAAUUGGAAAUCUGGAGGAAAGAAAACAGACAGGGAACUGUACUACAAUAUGUAGAUGACAUCUUAAAUUGCAGCAGAAACUCAAGAACAAUGUUUUUCUCUGACAAUAAGCCUUUUGAAUUUCUUGGGAAUUAGUGUAUACCAUGCAUCAAAAAGAAAAGACCCAGAUUGUCUGAGAAACGGUCAUCUACCUGGGCUUUGAAAUUCUAAAAGGGCAGAGGCAACUAGGAGUGGAAUGAGAACAAGCUAUUUGCUGUCUCCCCGAGCCAUGUACACCAGGAGAAUUGCGAGAAUUUCAAGGCACGAUAGGAUGGUGACACCUGUGGAUUGUGAAUUACGGAUUGAUGGUAAAACCUUUAUACAAAUUACUAAAGGACUCCCAAAGAGGGAGCCUUGAAUGGACAAAUGACAGCAGAGCUUUGUUCAGACAAUUGAAACAGGCUCUGAUGAGAGCACCCGCCCUGUAACUGCCAGACCUGACUAAAAUCUUUGAACUUUUCGCUUAUGAAUAUGGUAAUUAUUUCCUAGAAAUUUAAUGAAUAUGUAUAUUUUGAUUGCAUAUAACCCCUGUAGUAGAGCAACUCGGUGCACACACUAGGUGGAGUGAUCCCCUGUGUGCCCAGCGCUGCAAUAAACAAUGCCUGCUUUCUAAAACUACAAACUGAGUUUUAGAGUGCUUGUAUAUUUGCCGGCUUACAGUAUCACCUUCACAUUUAGUCCAUCUUCCACCAGUUUUUUGUGGUCUUUGAUGUUUUCAGUGACCACUUCAUCACACCAAUCCGUAGGACGAGUUUGUGUGGCCACUGAUGCAAACGUUACUCGCAUUAGCCAGCUCAUUUUGCCAAUAUAAAGCAAGGGUGAGCAAAAACCAGACAGCACUACCCUCCAAGGCUGUCAGACUAGGCCCAACUAAUACCCGUGGGCACAGGCUCUGGGCAAUGAUACAAUCUCAAUGCCGGAAAUUUGUUUCAGCUUUGUGAAUACUAUCAAAUGAUCGGUGAAGCCAACUGAUAGGGAAGAAGGAACUAUAACUCCCUGAACACUGGGGCAGAGGUCAAAUCGGUUGCCCCGAAGGGUAUCCAGUGGGACCACGAGGAGGUGUGACCUCUGCAGCUCUGCCCAGUUAGUAACUAUGAUCCCGUCUUAAGAGAGUCAUAGUUACUCCUGCCAGUUAUUUAGUUUCUGUGGCACCUCUGGGUACCAGCCACCUCUUCCCAGCCAGCCCAGAAGAGCCUGGGAGGCCAUACAAGUGUUCAUAGGCACCUUUCUCCAGGAAUAUGAGCUCCAGAAGAAGGUCUAGAUCUGAUUACUGACUAGUUCUUUCCAUUGCAGUGUUCAAAAUGCUAUUCAAGCCAGUUUCUGGAUGUGUUUGAAGCCUAUCACAUGGCUGUGUAUUCAGUCAGCUGGAAUCCCUACCACUUAAGUCUUCAUUUCCUGCAGCUCUGACUGGACAGUCAAGAUCUGAGAUCACACUAUCAAGUAGAUCCUGCUGGGUCCUGGCGUGGGGAUGGGUCAGCCCAAUCCUGGCCAAGCAUAUCAGGGAGCUGUGGGUCCCCCACCAGCAGGAAUCCACCACAGUGACUGGGGCUGAGUUGGCUGCAGCUUGCCUGGGCUGCUUGCUUCAGGAGGGCAGGGUUCCUUUGGUAGCUCAAGGCCCCAAUGCUGUUAAUUCAUUUUUGCUCAGCCUGAUUUCAGAGGACACAGAAGUCAUAAAGCAACAGACGUGAGUGUGGUGGUACAGCCCCCCCAAGCCACCCUGAGAUAUCAGGAUAAGCCCUAUUAUGCUGUUAUCUUAGUCACAAGUACAGUGACUUGGGCACCAGGGACUCUCUGGCUACACCUGGGCCAUCUGCUCCCUGAACUAUAUACCAGAAUGACUCAGCACAAAUUGUGGCCAGAAUGGGAAAUACUGACCAAAGCCAAUCAUCUCAAGAUCCUAUAAAUAGCGAUCCAAAAGUGACACCUUUUGAGCUCUCCAGAACCACAGUGUGCUGUGUGAUCCAGUAUGUCCCCCUGAGCUGGGAAGCCUCUCAGGGUAGAUUUUGUGAGGAUUAAAGGAUCAUCCAUUGACAGUUUCACAAGGUUCACCGACUGUCUGUUGAUGAAUGCCGGCACAUAAAAGUGAGUAAUUCAUGAAACUCAUGAAAAGGGAAAUUUUAAUCACAGGUUAACCUCUCUGUGUGCGCGCACGCACGUGUGCACGUGCAAUGUGAUUUACACUGUUUGUCUGCCUGUCUGUGUGUAUGUGUGCAAUUUGAUUUGGAGCUGUUUGCUGGUCUGUCUUUGUAUGUGUGUGAUUUGAUUUAAACCCAUCUGUGUGUACAACCCUGCUGUAAGUUUUGGGUGACCCUUGCUAUUCUUGAAUCUAAGUCGCUAUUUUGAUUGUAACAAAUUCCAUUGAAUCGUUCUGUUGAAUUGGCUGAUGCUUAAGUGUUAAGAAUUAUACAACCUAAUGUGACCAUCAGCCAGGAGCAGCCCAGAGUUGGGCUGCCUAGCAGGAAAGGUCCAGACAAGAGUUGCCUCCCCAUUGCAGUAGUCUGGCCAGGACUGAUGCUGAUUGAUAGAAAUCCUGGGCCCCUGUGCUAUCCACUAACCAUAUUGGUUGCAGCAGAGUGUGUCUGAGACAUGGUUUAGUUGCUGUUUUGAACAGAACCUUUUAGAUCUGCAGUGGAAAUGGAAUAAAUAGUUGAGCUUUUUCAUUCCUGGAGAUACUCCACUUUGUAGCAGAGUGCACUUCUUGGGAAUAACUCAGUGCCUUGCAAAGGGCGGGCUCCAUUAAUGCUGGGAAAAAACUACAUUAACAGGAUACAGAAAACUACAGGAAGUUGUCGUGGUUUAACCCCAGCUGGCAACUAAGCUGGCACAGAUGGGCAGAGUCCCUGGGAUUAAUGUUGCCUCCACUUCAUGUCAGUUGGGCUGCCUUCCCUUCUCCUCCCCAGCUGCCAGGCUCUGUGCACUGGCAUUUCUCUCCCCUAGCAGCUGCUCUUAGGACAUAAAGCCAGACUGGAAGAUUUUGGUGUGUCCCUGCAGUGUCAAAGUCCUCACCUCUGUCCUGCUGCAGCUCCCAUCCCAUCACAGGGUGCUCUGGUGGGCUCCAAGCCUGAAGAUGUGCAUCGGGCAGCUCAGGACACGAUUGCUCACUCACAUCCCUUAGCUGCUGAGUCGCAGGUGAGGUGACUUUAUCAGCAUAGUAGUUGGUUUCAGUGCAAAGUCAAACUGAUAAAUUUAAACCUAUUUUGUCAGUGGUUUUACAGGGAUGGUUUCUUACACAGAUGCUCCCAGGCCAUUUUUUCAUUACUAGAGCUAUUGCUCUUUCCGGUUAUAAAAUACAGCAUUUUGACAAAACCCACCUACUGAGAUUAACUAGUUCAUUCAGCCACACAGGAACCAAGUUUGCUUUUUUCUGCUUGUAUGAACAUAUGUGAGUGAACAAAUGGCUUGGGCAGCAUCUCCAAAGAUUUCUUUGAUUCAGCUGUUAGACUUUGCAUGAAAACCUACUGGGGACACAGACCCCAUCAGGAGCAUCUGAGAGAGUUUAGAAUGCUGCUCCUAGGUGCCUUUCUGCUCUUUGCUAUUGGCCGCUGCUGAGAAUGGCCCCUCUCUUAGAUUUGAAUUUGUGAGUAGGGAUGAUUGGCAUUAGGGCCACUGAGAACCCCCAGUUGUCUGCCACAUGCUGCUGUACAGACAGCAGCUCCUGAACCUUGAUGUUAAUUGCUUUUUAUAAUGACCUGAAAUCUGUGCUGGUUCAUUUUAAAUGCCAGUCUCCAAACCAUGACAGUUCAAUAUCUGCCUUAUGAACAGCUUUGCUGGCCUGCCACAGGGCUGCAGGUGGCAGAGUGGUGACUGCUUCCCUUGUCAGAGUCGCUGCUGCCCUUGCUCAUGCAACUGCCUGUCUUUGCCUGCGCCCCAGCUUCCAGUGCUGACUUUCCAUGGGGCAUUGUGCUGGUUUUGGCUGAGAAGGGGUUAAUUCUCCUCACUGUGGGGGUAGGCUACCUUUCCAGCUUCCCG